UGAGAAUAUAUAGUUUCCUGGGUAUACCCUACCUUGAACCCCCUUUAGCAGACCUCAGGUGAGAAUAUAUAGUUUCCUGGGUAUACCCUACCUUGAACCCCCUUUAGCAGACCUCAGGUUUAAACCUGGAGUUCCAGCCAAACCUUGGUCCGGGGUUAGAGAUGCAACAAAGUUUGGGAAUAAAUGUAUCCAGUUUGAUAUGUAUGGAGAUGAAAGCCCUGGAGAGCCUGUAGGAUCAGAGGAUUGUCUUUACAUUAAUGUAUUCACAAAGAGUACAUCUGUGACAGCGAAGAAACCAGUUAUAUUUUGGAUUCAUGGAGGGGCAUUUAUUUUCGGGGGAGUGUCAGGAUUUGGUGCAAAGUAUAUGCUGGAGCAGGUAGGCUUUCUUAGCUUAUGUA